UGUGGCGUUGCCCAGACAACUAGGAUGUUGGCUUAGAAGCAGCCAUCAUUUAAAGAGUGCGUAAUAGCUCACUAGUCGAGUGACACUGCGCCGAAAAUGUACCGGGGCUAAACAUAUUACCGAAGCUGUGGAUUGUCCUUUGGACAAUGGUAGGAGAGCGUUCUAAGGGCGUUGAAGCAUGAUCGUAAGGACAUGUGGAGCGCUUAGAAGUGAGAAUGCCGGUGUGAGUAGCGAAAGACGGGUGAGAAUCCCGUCCACCGAUUGACUAAGGUUUCCAGAGGAAGGCUCGUCCGCUCUGGGUUAGUCGGGUCCUAAGCUGAGGCCGACAGGCGUAGGCGAUGGAUAACAGGUUGAUAUUCCUGUACCACCUAUAAUCGUUUUAAUCGAUGGGGGGACGCAGUAGGAUAGGCGAAGCGUGCGAUUGGAUUGCACGUCUAAGCAGUAAGGCUGAGUAUUAGGCAAAUCCGGUACUCGUUAAGGCUGAGCUGUGAUGGGGAGAAGACAUUGUGUCUUCGAGUCGUUGAUUUCACACUGCCGAGAAAAGCCUCUAGAUAGAAAAUAGGUGCCCGUACCGCAAACCGACACAGGUAGUCAAGAUGAGAAUUCUAAGGUGAGCGAGCGAACUCUCGUUAAGGAACUCGGCAAAAUGACCCCGUAACUUCGGGAGAAGGGGUGCUCUUUAGGGUUAACGCCCAGAAGAGCCGCAGUGAAUAGGCCCAAGCGACUGUUUAUCAAAAACACAGGUCUCUGCUAAACCGUAAGGUGAUGUAUAGGGGCUGACGCCUGCCCGGUGCUGGAAGGUUAAGAGGAGUGGUUAGCUUC
rnacentral:rRNA from 1 species